GAUGAACGCUAGCGACAGGCUUAACACAUGCAAGUCGAGGGGCAGCACAGGUAGCAAUACCAGGUGGCGACCGGCGCACGGGUGAGUAACACGUAUCCAACCUGCCGUCUACUCUUGGACAGCCUUCUGAAAGGAAGAUUAAUACAAGAUGGCAUCAUGAGUUCACAUGUUCACAUGAUUAAAGGUAUUCCGGUAGACGAUGGGGAUGCGUUCCAUUAGAUAGUAGGCGGGGUAACGGCCCACCUAGUCUUCGAUGGAUAGGGGUUCUGAGAGGAAGGUCCCCCCACAUUGGAACUGAGACACGGGUCCAAACUCCUACGGGAGGCAGCAGUGAGGAAUAUUGGGU
rnacentral:rRNA from 1 species